rnacentral:lncRNA from 1 species
AUGGUCUCCGUGCCUGCCCGGCCGGCCCCACAAGGCUACAUGUUCUGUUUUGGUUCUCUCUCUCUCUCUCCCUCUCUGCCUGGGCGGAGCUCACUGCGGGCUCCCGCCCUUGGCCCACACACCUGUCAUCAAUCACCAGUCAUCACCAGUCAUCACCAGGAGCACUACUUGAGGCUGGGACACAGAUCCUCUCAUCGCUGGAUGAUUGUGCUUAACACUUUUCCUCCCUGGACCUGUGACCUCCCCGCUGUGUGGUUGUGUGUGAGUUGGAGUAAGAGGAGGGGACGAGUGCGCAAGCGUUUUCCCCUGGAUCUUCCCUGGGACCCUUCUCCUACCCGGAUUUCCCCCACUGUACAUAUUCUGCACUUGGUGUUGUAAAUAAACUCUGUGUUGGAACUGACUACCCGCUCUGCGCUUGAGUCCCUGCACCAUUUGUGACAGAUAUAUAUAUAUAUAUAUAUAUAUAUAUACAUAUAUAUGAGUGUAAGCACAUACAGGGUAAAGCUGAAUGGAACAGACUGAUUAGAAGACCAGUUCAGUACAUUGAAAUAUUUUUCAAACUAUCUUUAUUUAAAUCUGAGAAUAGCUGACUUGAAUUUCUGUGAUUAAAAGCUUUUAUUUUGCAGCCUUAUCCUGAAAUAGCAUGAUUUUCCCUGAUAACUAUACUAUUACUGAAAAACCUGUGACCAAAACACUAAUGGUGAGCCUUCAAAAUCUUUUAUUUACAGUCUAUGGUCUGAAAGAAACCAAGGCACUGUUUACCAUCCCAGUGGUAAAACACUGUUGAGACAACAUCAUGGCAAUAAAAAUUGUACUUAUAUAGCACAUUUCAUUACAUGAAAACUCAAUGUGCUUAACAAAGAAAAUGAAGAAGCAUUAAAAAAUAAGUGUUGAGCACUUUGGGUGCUCAGUCAGAGUAGAAAAGCACCACAUGAGUACCGAGGGGGGCUGUAGCUUAAGAACUAGAGCAGGUCAACUACUAAUCAGAAGGCUGGUGGUUGGAUCCCUGGCUGCUCCCGUGUGCAUGCCAAAUAUCCUCGAGCAAGAUACUAACCCCAAAUUGCUCUCCAAUGAAUCCCUUGGAGUAAAUGUGUGUGAAUGUUAGAUAGAAAGCACUUAAACACAGAAAAAAAAGUGCUUGUGUGACGGGGUGACUGAGGCCAGUUGCUCAAGUAGAGUAAAAAAGCGCUAUAGAGGAACCAGUCCGUUAACCAUUUGUGUUCAUUUGUGUGCUUUUUGUUUGUUUGUUUUUUUUUCAGGUGAAGUGACAGGAAGACUGGUCAGAUGAGAUAAAACUGAGUAACUUGAAUUUUAAAAAACACACAUCUGGAGAAAGAUUAAAGUCCCAAUUCAACUGAAGAAGAUGAAGAGAAUUAACAGAAAGGUUGAUAUUUGAAGAGGUUUGUAGAGCUUCUGAAUGUGCUGUAGUUGCUAUCUGUUUCUUUGCCAUGUUUAGUUCUCCCUGAAGCAAUACAAGUGUUUAUCUGCUUAAUAUUUAUGAUUUAUUAAAAACCAUUCAGUUAGCCUUCACGGUAUCCAGAUGAGGACAUUGUCAACCUGAAAGAAGACAGACAAAGCCAAUCACAUUUAAGAAAUCUGUGUCGAUUUGCAAUGGCUCUUCUCUUUAGUGAGACAUGUAGACUUAAGGCCACAUUGUAGGGGUCAAGGGUACUUGCCAUAGAGUUGUUAAAAAAAAAAAAACUAGUAAAAAAAUUAAGCGAACAUUUUGCAAUUUCCCCCUAAAAACUCUUCCAUCUGGGUACGUCAAAACCCAAAAUUAACUUUCCCGAAAUCCUGGUGGAUGUUAAGAGAAUAAGAAUCCAGGUUGGGCUGAGUGUGAGAAAUGCAACAACAAUGCGAGUGAGGUAAUGACACGAGUGUUUUAGCUAAAUAAUCAUCAGAUUAAAUGCUUUAGUAAGCCAGCCUUUCAAUAUUUUCAUCCUAGCAAAAAACAUAUUACCAUCACAGUCAUAAAAGUGUCAGAAUCCCCAUUUUAGGUUCUGAAUUAAGCAACUCUCUUUAGAACUCUCAUUUUCAUCUGAAUAGUAGCAGUCAACUCAGCAAGUUAAUUGAAAAAGUAAUUGCUCCAUACUGAUUUUG